UUCGCCCUUUAAAAAUUAUAAUAAUAAUUUAUUACUAUCUUUCUUCCUUUUUUUUUAAUUUUAUUUAAUUUAAGUUAAUUUUUAAAUUUAAAAUUUAAAAUUAAAAUUUAAAUACAUUAUUGUUGGUGUAAAUAUUCAAAAAAUAGAGGUUAGCUACAAAAUAAUUUAAAAAAUAUCAACGAGUCGAUCAAGCCGAGACACGGAUAUCUCGCUCUCUUUAAGGAGAUUCAAGCCCUCUGCGGUUGGCAAAGCCUUUGAACCGAUGCAGCAGAGCACUGACUUGUCCCCUCCAGGAUACAACGGCUCGACCCUCGUCGUGUGGCUUCACCAACUCUGCACAAGUAGAUGAGCCCAAAGCUCCACAAAAAAAAACACCUUUUUUUGACCUUCUCUCUCUCAAGUAUAAUAGAAAUAGCUUUAUAGUUUUUUGAGUUGUGUUUGAAUAGAGAAAAAGAGCUCUCUAUAUAUAGGCUCUAAAAAGUAUAGGUUACGAAGGAUAUAAAGUCAUAGGUUAGAUU
rnacentral:lncRNA from 1 species